rnacentral:rRNA from 1 species
CAUGCUGUGAGCUCGAUGAGUAGGGCGGGACACGUGGUAUCCUGUCUGAAUAUGGGGGGACCAUCCUCCAAGGCUAAAUACUCCUGACUGACCGAUAGUGAACCAGUACCGUGAGGGAAAGGCGAAAAGAACCCCGGCGAGGGGAGUGAAAAAGAACCUGAAACCGUGUACGUACAAGCAGUGGGAGCACAGAGCAAUCUGUGUGACUGCGUACCUUUUGUAUAAUGGGUCAGCGACUUAUAUUCUGUAGCAAGGUUAACCGAAUAGGGGAGCCGAAGGGAAACCGAGUCUUAACUGGGCGUUAAGUUGCAGGGUAUAGACCCGAAACCCGGUGAUCUAGCCAUGGGCAGGUUGAAGGUUGGGUAACACUAACUGGAGGACCGAACCGACUAAUGUUGAAAAAUUAGCGGAUGACUUGUGGCUGGGGGUGAAAGGCCAAUCAAACCGGGAGAUAGCUGGUUCUCCCCGAAAGCUAUUUAGGUAGCGCCUCGUGAAUUCAUCUCCGGGGGUAGAGCACUGUUUCGGCAAGGGGGUCAUCCCGACUUACCAACCCGAUGCAAACUGCGAAUACCGGAGAAUGUUAUCACGGGAGACACACGGCGGGUGCUAACGUCCGUCGUGAAGAGGGAAACAACCCAGACCGCCAGCUAAGGUCCCAAAGUCAUGGUUAAGUGGGAAACGAUGUGGGAAGGCCCAGACAGCCAGGAUGUUGGCUUAGAAGCAGCCAUCAUUUAAAGAAAGCGUAAUAGCUCACUGGUCGAGUCGGCCUGCGCGGAAGAUGUAACGGGGCUAAACCAUG